AACCCCCUUCCCCCACGCCACAAUCCCGCUCGACCAACGACGUCGCUGGCACGCGGCGAAGCAUCUCGGACGCCCGCGCGGCGACACGGGCUUGCCGGCGACGCCACUGCCGCGUCCUGCCGGCGCGCUGCCCGCCCUGCCCGGCGUCCCCUCUACCGCGCCCCACUCCUCCUUCCCUCGCCCUUCCUAUAAAAGGCCAAGCCGGUCCCAGCAACGCGCGCCCAAGCCACCGCCGGCCACCAUUACCGGCUUCCCGGACCUCCACGCCGACCACCACUUUCCGAGCCGCCCCGACCCCAGCUAACCCCUGAACCACCAUGCUCCCGUCCUCCUGAAGCUCUCCAGCCCCACCGCCGUAGCCCUCCCUAGCCGGAACCCCGCCGCCACCGCACAGCGUCGCCGCCGGCCCUCGGAGCACGCUGCGCCCCCAUCUCCGGCCCUCCUCCGACCUCGCCACCUUCAGCAAACCGACGCGUGGAGAGCCCCUGUUUACUCCCGGCCCGACUUCGUCGCCGGCGAGGGGCCCCACCGGCCGGGAUUUGGCCGGCCGAGCUACCCACCACACUACCGCUCUCGCUGACGGAUCGUACGAACUAGUGCCCGAGUCUGAGAGUGACCAGCGCGAAGCUCAAGUGAAUCUAACAAAAAUCGUUGAAGACCCAAACCAAAGGUCGGAAGAGCUCAAGGCUAGGUUUGCUUAGGAAGGCAAGCCCCGGAGCAUGAACCCUAUUUUCCCAUAUACGCAACGUUCUUACUUUAUGUACUUAUGCAUUUACAUUUAUAGGAGUUAAUUGAAACC